ensembl:misc_RNA Metazoa_SRP Metazoan signal recognition particle RNA
GCUGGGUGUGGUGGCGCGUGCCUGUAAUCCCAGCUACUCAGGAGGCUGAGGCAGGAGAAUUGCCUGAACCCAGGAGGCGGAGGUUGCAGUGAGCCGAGAUCGCGCCAUUAUACUCCAGCCUGGGUAACAAGAGCGAAACUCUGUCUCAAAGAAAAAGAAUGGAGUCUCACUCUAUCACCCAGGCUGGAAUGCAGUGGUGUGAUCUCAUCUCACCACAACCUCCUCCUCCUGGGCUCAAAUGAUUCUCCUGCCUCAG